rnacentral:rRNA from 1 species
AUUGAACGCUGGCGGCAGGCCUAACACAUGCAAGUCGAGCGGAUGACGGGAGCUUGCUCCUUGAUUCAGCGGCGGACGGGUGAGUAAUGCCUAGGAAUCUGCCUGGUAGUGGGGGACAACGUUUCGAAAGGAACGCUAAUACCGCAUACGUCCUACGGGAGAAAGCAGGGGACCUUCGGCCCUUGCGCUAUCAGAUGAGCCUAGGUGGGAUUAGCUAGUAGGUGAGGUAAUGGAUCACCUAGGCGACGAUCCGUAACUGGUCUGAGAGGAUUAUCAGAAACGUUGGAACGGAAAAAAGGUCCAGACUCCAACGGGAGGCAGGAGUGGGGAAUAUUGGACAAGGGGCGAAAGCCUGAUCCAGCCAUGCCGCGUGGGUGAAGAAGUUUUUCGGAUUGUAAGGCGAUUUAUGUUGGGAGGAAGGGGAGAAAGUUAAUACCUUGCUGUUUUGACGUUACCGACAGAAUAAGCACCGGCUAACUCUGUGCCAGCAGCCGCCGUAAGAC